rnacentral:tRNA from 1 species
GUUUCUAUAGCUUAUAUUUAGAGCAUAUUAGUGAAGUUAAUAAGGAAAUUAUAUUUAGGAACA